GACGAACGCUGGCGGCGUGCUUAACACAUGCAAGUGGAGCGACGAACCGGGGCUUGCCCCGGGGCAGAGCCGCGAACGGGUGAGUAACACGUGGGUAACCCACCCCGAUGACCGGGACAACCCGAGGAAACUCGGGCUAAUACCGGAUGUGCUCCUUGACCAUGAGGUCAAGGCGUAAAGAUAGCUUCGGCCUUCGCCUCGGGACGGGCCCGCGGCCCAUUAGCUUGUUGGUGGGGUAAAGGGCGACCAAGGCGACGAUGGGUAGCUGGUCUGAGAGGACGAUCAGCCACACUGGGACUGAGACACGGCCCAGACUCCUACGGGAGGCAGCAGUGGGGAAUCUUGCGCAAUGCGCGAAAGCGUGACGCAGCAACGCCGCGUGGGGGAAGAAGGCCUUCGGGUUGUAAACCCCUUUCAGUUGGGACGAAGCUUCGCCGGUGAAUAGCCGGCUGGAGUGACGGUACCCUCACAAGAAGCCCCGGCUAACUACGUGCCAGCCGCCGCCGUAAUAC
rnacentral:rRNA from 1 species